rnacentral:rRNA from 1 species
ACGCUGGCGGCGUGCCUAAUACAUGCAAGUAGAACGCUGAAGAGAGGAGCUUGCUCUUCUUGGAUGAGUUGCGAACGGGUGAGUAACGCGUAGGUAACCUGCCUUGUAGCGGGGGAUAACUAUUGGAAACGAUAGCUAAUACCGCAUAACAAUAGGUGACACAUGUCAUUUAUUUGAAAGGGGCAAUUGCUCCACUACAAGAUGGACCUGCGUUGUAUUAGCUAGUAGGUGAGGUAACGGCUCACCUAGGCGACGAUACAUAGCCGACCUGAGAGGGUGAUCGGCCACACUGGGACUGAGACACGGCCCAGACUCCUACGGGAGGCAGCAGUAGGGAAUCUUCGGCAAUGGGGGCAACCCUGACCGAGCAACGCCGCGUGAGUGAAGAAGGUUUUCGGAUCGUAAAGCUCUGUUGUAAGUCAAGAACGAGUGUGAGAGUGGAAAGUUCACACUGUGACGGUAGCUUACCAGAAAGGGACGGCUAACUACGUGCCAGCAGCCGCGGUAAUACGUAGGUCCCGAGCGUUGUCCGGAUUUAUUGGGCGUAAAGCGAGCGCAGGCGGUUUGAUAAGUCUGAAGUUAAAGGCUGUGGCUCAACCAUAGUUCGCUUUGGAAACUGUCAAACUUGAGUGCAGAAGGGGAGAGUGGAAUUCCAUGUGUAGCGGUGAAAUGCGUAGAUAUAUGGAGGAACACCGGUGGCGAAAGCGGCUCUCUGGUCUGUAACUGACGCUGAGGCUCGAAAGCGUGGGGAGCGAACAGGAUUGGAUACCCUGGUAGUCCACGCCGAAAACGAUGAGUGCUAGGUGUUGGAUCCUUUCCGGGAUUCAGUGCCGCAGCUAACGCAUUAAGCACUCCGCCUGGGGAGUACGACCGCAAGGUUGAAACUCAAAGGAAUUGACGGGGGCCCGCA